CUACGAGGGGUGCAAGCGUUAAUCGGAAUUACUGGGCGUAAAGCGUUCGUAGGCGGUUUGUUAAGCAAGAUGUGAAAGCCCUGGGCUCAACCUGGGAACUGCAUUUUGAACUGGCAAACUAGAAUACUGUAGAGGGUGGUGGAAUUUCCAGUGCAGCGGUGAAAUGCGUAGAGAUUGGAAGGAACAUCAGUGGCGAAGGCGGCCACCUGGACAGAUAUUGACGCUGAGGAACGAAAGCGUGGGGAGCGAACAGGAUUAGAAACCCGAGUAGUCC
rnacentral:rRNA from 1 species